rnacentral:rRNA from 1 species
ACACUCCUACGGGAGGCAGCAGUGAGGAAUAUUGGACAAUGGGUGGAAGCCUGAUCCAGCCAUCCCGCGUGCAGGAAGACGGCCCUAUGGGUUGUAAACUGCUUUUAUCUGGGGAUAAACCUACUUACGUGUAAGUAGCUGAAGGUACCAGAAGAAUAAGCACCGGCUAACUCCGUGCCAGCAGCCGCGGUAAUACGGAGGGUGCAAGCGUUAUCCGGAUUUAUUGGGUUUAAAGGGUCCGUAGGCGGACUGAUAAGUCAGUGGUGAAAUCCGACAGCUUAACUGUCGAACUGCCAAUGAUACUGUUAGUCUUGAGUAAGGUUGAAGUGGCUGGAAUAAGUAGUGUAGCGGUGAAAUGCAUAGAUAUUACUUAGAACACCAAUUGCGAAGGCAGGUCACUAAGUCUUAACUGACGCUGAUGGACGAAAGCGUGGGGAGCGAACAGGAUUAGAAACCCUAGUAGUCCCAU